rnacentral:rRNA from 1 species
UACGUAGGUCCCGAGCGUUGUCCGGAUUUAUUGGGCGUAAAGCGAGCGCAGGUGGUUUAUUAAGUCUGGUGUAAAAGGCAGUGGCUCAACCAUUGUAUGCAUUGGAAACUGGUAGACUUGAGUGCAGGAGAGGAGAGUGGAAUUCCAUGUGUAGCGGUGAAAUGCGUAGAUAUAUGGAGGAACACCGGCGGCGAAAGCGGCUCCCUGGCCUGUAACUGACACUGAGGCUCGAAAGCGUGGGGAGCAAACAGG